CAGCCAAUUAGAGUCCAUGGAAUGCCACUGGAUGGGACUAAGUAAGCAAGCCUCAGUUUUAAAAAGAGAGAGAGAAAAGUGCCUUCCCUCAGAUAGAGAUCUGCAGCUCUGAAUAAGAUUGCUGGUUUAACCAGGAUUUUAAUUUGACUUUCAGGCUGAGUUAGAGAGAAGACUUUGCAAAUAUCCACUCUGAUGGCUGACACCAUGGUUGAGGAAGUGGUACGAAGACCUUGUUCUGGAAGGAAGGGGAAGAAAGGUGCCUUUCCUUGCUGGAAAACUCUGAAAAGUAUCCUGGUAAUCAGCCACAAGCAAUCAGAUGCUGUGUAAUAAAAGCUGCUGAUACAUCUGGUCCAUGGAGUCAAAUGCUGAUUCCAGCAUUAGACCUUGUGAAAUCAACAAAGGAAACUUUGGCUUCUGCUGGUAAUGGUCUGACGGUGAUAUCUGCAGCAGGAACUAUUUUGUUCUGGAUACUCUGUCUGCAGUUAUUUCCAGCCUCUUCCUUGACAGAGUAACACUGAAUGUCACCUCCUCCAUAGUCUCUUCUUCUGUUGGAUGCCUUCAAUAGAAUUUGGGCCCUUGUGCAACUGGUAGGAAAGAACCGGUUUUAUAACUUAGAUGGAGGGAAAAUAGAAAGCCAACAAAAAUGGAGGCUUGAUAGUAACAUUGGAUUGCACUGGCUUAAGUAGGCAGAGGAUUGCUGGAUUGCACAGCACCAUGGAAUGAUUUUAAUUGUAACUGUAUUUUAUUGGUUUUAAAUUGUAAAUAUAAACCUCUGAACUGAC